rnacentral:rRNA from 1 species
GGUGAACGCUAGCGGCAGGCCUAAUACAUGCAAGUCGAACGGUGUCUUCGGACAUAGUGGCGCACGGGUGCGUAACACGUAUGCAACCUACCUUACAUUGGGGGAUAGCCUUUCGAAAGGGAGAUUAAUACCGCAUAAGACAGUAGCUGGGCAUCCAGCAGCUGUUAAAGAUUUAUCGAUGUAAGCUGGGCAUGCGUCCAAUUAGCUAGUUGGUGAGGCAACGGCUCACCAAGGCAAUGAUUGGUAGGGGAACUGAGAGGUCAAUCCCCCACACUGGCACUGAGAUACGGGCCAGACGCCUACGGGAGGCACCGGUAGGGAAUAUUGGGCAAUGGACGCAAGUCUGACCCAGCCAUGCCGCGUGCAGGAUGAAGGCGUUAUGCGUUGUAAACUGCUUUUAUACAGGAAGAAACGACUCUUGCGAGAGGCAUUGACGGUACUGUAUGAAUAAGCACCGGCUAACUCCGUGCCAGCAGCCGCCGUAAGAC